UGCAACUCUCUUGGAUGCAAGCUGCCGUUAAACCUCAAAGAAGAAGAAGGAAGAAGCCUAUUAUGCGUCACGUCCGGAUCCUCCCCUUUCUGUUUAUUGAAGGUGGUUUCAGGUAUGUGCUCUUAGCAUGUAGCAUCUCGCUAACCUUUUAAUUACUGUUCGUGGGGCAUUAACGAUUCGUUUGUUGCAUCCUAGCUUGUCGUUUCAUCUGUGUGCGUGUCUCCUUCUGUUGCUUCAGUAGUAGAGUUGAUGACUGCCCUCCUUUCAGGGUGGAGGAUCGUCCGUUUGAUUAUCGGAGCUGGCGUACAGACUACGCGGUCGCUCCCUAUGAGUCCUGUCUUCCUCGUAGUUGAGCUGAGUUUCUUCUUUGGGUUUUCUUUUUCUUCCUUUUUUUUGAAUUUUUGUAUGUUGUUUGUGCUGUAUUGUGGUUAUUUUUUUUGUACCCAUUAUUAUUGUUUUUUGAUGGAACUGUGACUCCAUUUGAUUUUCAUUUACUUCUGUUUAUAAGAAUUAUCUAUUUUGUUUUUGAUUUUCUUUCAGGAGCUGGGGUCCCAUGGGUGAAGGAUCUUUGGUGGUGGUGCUGCUUCAACGUUUGCCGUUGGACACUUUUUGAAGUGUUUGGGUGUGUGAUCUGAGUGCACGGUGGGGUGUGUGGAAGUGUGCUUUUGGAUAAUUAUUGCUGCUGAUCACUCCUGUGUGUAACCUCAGCCCCGUGGGAUAGUGUAUUUUUGUUUAUUGAACUGCUAUUGGAGAGAGAGAGCUGCCAGGAGUGGCAUGUUACCAUUGAGGCUAUUUUAAGUAUUUUUCUACCUUGUUGAAUUCAUUGUGAAUAAACUUUGUAUUUUUAUACGAUACCUACGUUUCUUGCCUACCCUUUUAUAAGAGAAGUGAACCUGUGUGACCUAAUAAUAAACUUUGGGGUUUAUUUCUAUUUCCUGGGUGAAAAUCCCCCAGGUGGCGUAGUCGAAUUUUCUACAAGUAGAUGAACUUGGGCUUGUGUGUUAAAACCUGUACGGCACCCUCGCCACACAUGCAUGUUCCCACUACUGCUGGUUUCUGUGGCAUGUGCCAUGGUUUUCAGCACAAACACUAUCAGCACUCAAUGAGAUGAGCUAAUAAUGAAAGAUGAACAUAAUGUUAGAUGUCACUGCAGCCUCUACAGCAUCGUAUCUUAACUUACGACACAUUAUUUUGCGCCACAAAAAAUCUAAACACAGAGAGCUCAGAAUGGAAAUAGCUUGAAAUGUGUCCAUACCAUCCACAGGCAGUGAGUAGAAUUAAUCAGAAACUGAAGCCUAAUAACAUAAAAGCUUUAAGUACAGUGCUGUGUUCACCUAAACUGGAUAUUUUACUUGCGAGUCUACUGAAAAUUGUUAACAGUUAUCAAGACACAAAUCAGAGGAAGAGUCCUGAGACUCAGUGGAGGUUCGGUGAUAUGAUUUAGCCCAUGAUUUGUUUGUCUUUUUAUACCCUGAUGAUUCUCACCUUGCUUGAAAUCUUGUUGAGUUUAUUAGUGCAGUAGUGAGUCUUAAUCCCAUGUUCCUGUGUAAAUCUGUUUUUUGGAUUAUGGAUCUGCUUACUUUAAUGUUGCCUUCCUUUACUUUGGAAGUGAAGGACCUCUGCUUGUAAUUAUGAUGAAGUUUAUUGGUUUGCACUUAAUAAAGAUCACACUGAGUUUA